ACCGUUCUUCAAACACUCCAGAUUCCCGAUCCAGCAGAGCCCGAAUACCCCGAGAUCCUCUCCAAAUUCCCCUCCGUCGACAACUACUUCAAGAAAUUGUUGGCAUUCCUUGAUCGUUCAAUUCUUACCGCUGUAUAACAGUGCCCGAACGCCGGGAGGCAGUUGCAGGGGAGGGUUUUGGUUCGGCGCCGAUCAGUCCACGAAUAUCGCGGAAACCCCCCGAAAUUUCAUGCUCUUUCUCUGAAGCAAGUCCUCUGGCAGUAAUGAGCUGCUUUCAUAUCAGGCGCUGAUUGAUGGAUCCUGAUAACAAAAAGUUUGGAAGAGGGCCAAGAGAGCUUACAGGUGCUGUGGAUCUUAUAAGUCACUACAAGUUGUUGCCACACCAUGAGUUCUUCUGCAAGAGGUCACUUCCUGUCUCAAUCUCAGAUACACACUACCUUCACAAUGUGGUUGGAGAUACAGAAAUCCGAAAAGGGGAGGGAAUGCAAUUGAGUCAACUCAUUCAAAGUUCAUCCACUUCUAGAGAACCUAACAUGCGCAUACAGCCCUUUGACCUAAAUAUACUUCGAGAAGCCUUUCAACUGAGGGAAACAUCCCCGAUUGAUCUUCCACUUUCUGAAAAGGGUACUCCUACCAUUGCUGGGAAACCAAAAAGCGAAUCUAAAGACAAGGAGAAGAAACAUAAAAAGCACAAGGACAAAGAAAAAGACAAGGAUAAAGAACACAAGAAGCACAAACAUCGACACAAAGAUAAAAGCAAGGACAAGGAGAAGAAAAAGGAUAAAUCCAGUCAUCAUGAUUCUGGAAAUGACCACUCAAAAAGGCAUCAUGAGAAGAAAAGAAAGCAUGAUGGAGAUGAGGAAGGCAAUGACAUUCAUAAACACAAGAAAAGUAAGCACAAGAGCUCAAAGAUCGAUGAAAUUGGAGCAGUGAAAGUAGCAGGCUGAGAAGUGGUGCUUGAUCUUUUAAUGUUAUCAUCAGAUGUUGGAGUUGAUAUUUGAAGUUUGUUUACUAUAGUCAAGUUAUCAAAGAGCUUCAUAUGGACUUAAUAAAGCUUUCCAAGGUGAAAUCCGAGGUACAAACUGUUGAAAAAAUUGGACAUUUAUGUGCUGUAGUGAUUUAUCUGAUCUAUUCCAUUCUUUGGUUUGUAUUGAUGCAACAAACUCCCUGUGUCAUUUCAUAACCUUAUUUUUGUCAACGUGGUUCUUAGGUCUAAGGAUUUUGAAAUAGUCGAUUCAGUCAGUAUGUAGCUUUAGAAUGAUCGACUUAGGUGCUGUACCACUAAUGUGUUUUAAUUUAAGGUAUGAAGAUGCUAUGUGACCAUACCUUAUCUGUAAGGAUGUGCGAAUAUGUACUGAUACUUAGAUGAAUUAAGAUGGAUUUUAUACUAGGUACAAUUGUAGCGAAACAGCGUGGCAAUUUUUGUCUUCGAAUCCGCAACAGCUGCAGCAAUUGUAUACGUAAGAACACUCCCUACCUGACAUGUUUUGCUCCUGCUUCUUUGGCUCGCUAUUGUUUAGGAACUUUCAGAAUAACAAACUUAUUCAUCAUGUUUCGACCUUUCUUCCAUUGGUGAUACUGUGCUAUUGCAGUUUUUUGAUUUCUAUUGUUUCCAUGGGGAUAUAAUAUAUAUAUAUAUAUAUAUACACACGCGAUGAGCUGACUUCUGCAAACAUUCCUGCUGCUGAUGAUUUCCUGCACCGGCACUGUGCAUAUGGAUUUUGUAUUUAUGUUAGAUUUGAUCUUUAUUUUUUUACUUUUUCAACAUUAUACAUAAAUAUUAUAUAGUAAUGGACCAUCUAGUUUUUUGGCGGGAGUAUUUGAACAGUGUAUAUUAAAGUGAGUUUGGAAAUUUGUAUAGAUCAUAUAUAUAUAUAUAUUG